GAGAAACCCCGGCGCAGAAAGGAACGGCUCCUCCAUGCCCAGCCGGCACGGCUCCGGGGGCUCGGCCCCUCUCCCCGCCGAUCCAGCCCAUGGAACCAGCCAAAUGUUUGAACGCAGUCCGUGGCAAACCCUGUUCCUUUCCAGGUAUUACAGCAGUUAUUGACAAGGAAACACCCUAAACCUCAAGUACUUUAGAGGAAAUGUGGAGAGUAUGGCAAAUAUAUGUUCUCCUGGGCUCACAGUCAGUGGUAUAUACAUAUCUGGAUCUCAUCUGCCAGGCAGAAAACCUCUGUAAGACAGUGUUUGUUGUGCUACAACAUGACAGGGAAAUAGGCUGAGCCUAAAUGUGGAAAUAUCCCUCUGCUGAUCUGCAGUGACUCCUCUGCCUGCAUAAGGAAAAGUAUCACAUCUUCAGAGACACCCACACCUAUACAAUGGUCUGGCAUCUUCCUGCCCAUCCUGCAAAGCAAGAGGGGAGGUUGAUUUACAUCAUUUUACUGGUCACAGAAAAACAAACGACUGUGAGAGAAGGAAGGCUCCUCGCCCGUAAACAAGCGCUCAGCCCUGUCACAGCAAUGGUAUGUGGAACAAUGGGUUUCCAGCAGAGAUGGGCACAGCAGCUUUGGUGGCCCACGAGUUUUGGCUAGUUUCUGAUGCUGAGGGGAUGCUGGGUUUCAUAUUCUAAAAUGAGCUAUAAGAUGUAACAAUAACCCGUAUUGUUCUUGCAGCCCAAGGGCCUUGUACUUGUCCUCGUGAGUGGGAAAGACAGUCAUACACAAUAAGCUGUCUCCAUUACAGAGUGUUUCCUAUUAUGUAGCCGUAAGGAUUCCCUUAGUUUCCAGGGAUAUUCUUUCCAGCCUAGAAACACUUUAGGUACAAUGGAGAUUUUCUUCUAUAGUCCAAAAUCCUUUCCCUUAAAUGGGAAAAAAAAUUAUCAGGUUUCUUGGCAAAGAUCUGUAACAAGUGUUGAAAAGUGCAAAAAGAACUGAGAUACAUAGUGUGAAGUGGCAUGUGCUACUGACAGCCCAGGAGCGUGGAAAUACUGGAAUACCAGGGAAAAAUACUGGAAGCAGACAGCAAAAUACAGUCCAAAAAUGAACCUUAAAGAGACAAGGCUCUCCUCGAAAAACCCAGGCAGAACUUGGAUGGCAACGUCAGCAGCAGCUGGGCUCCAUCAUCACAUUCUCCCUUGCUGAAAGCCCUGUUCAGAGGAGUUCAGCUGUAGCUGCCAACCUACGCUGCUGCAGGGGAGCAGGCUCUGUGUGCAGGGGGAAAGCCUUGGUAGCCACAGCUUUCCUGGCCCCUGGCCUGUACCCCCAGCACGCUCCACCAUUCACUCUUGCCCUCUACCAGCUCCUCGUCUCACUGUGGUGAAAUAAAGCCUUUCCCAAACUG